rnacentral:tRNA from 1 species
CAAAAGAUAAGCUAAGCUAAAGCUAAUGGGUUCAUACCUCAUUUAUGGAUUCUUCCUCUUUUUA